AGCGAACGCUGGCGGCAGGCUUAACACAUGUAAGUCGAGCGGGCAUCCUUGUGGUGUCAGCGGCAGACGGGUGAGUAACGCGUGGGAACGUGCCCUUCGGUUCGGAAUAACUCAGGGAAACUUGAGCUAAUACCGGAUACGUGCGAGAGCAGAAAGGUUUAUCUGCCGAAGGAUCGGCCCGCGUCUGAUUAGCUAGUUGGUGAGGUUACGGCUCACCAAGGCGACGAUCAGUAGCUGGUCUGAGAGGAUGAUCAGCCACACUGGGACUGAGACACGGCCCAGACUCCUACGGGAGGCAGCAGUGGGGAAUAUUGGACAAUGGGGGCAACCCUGAUCCAGCCAUGCCGCGUGAGUGAUGACGGCCUUAGGGUUGUAAAGCUCUUUUCUCCGGGACGAUAAUGACGGUACCGGAGGAAUAAGCCCCGGCUAACUUCGUG
rnacentral:rRNA from 1 species